UCCCCCGUGAGGGGGCAGUCUCGCCUGACUUAUAAAACAGGCAACGCGGGUUGCGUUCGUUACCCCACUGAAGGGAACAACUCAAGCCACGAACUGACGACGACCAUGCAUCACCUGCCCAGCCGUCUUGCGAAGGUCUAAGUUUCCUUAGACUGUCGUCUGGGUGUCAAACCCUGGUGAGGUUCUUCGUUUGUCAUCGAAUUGAGCCGCAUGAUCCACCGCUUGUGCAAGUCCCCGUCUAUUCCUUUGAGUUUUAGCCUUGCGGCCGUACUACCCAGGCGCACAACUUAACGCGUUAGCUUCGCCACAAAGAGGGUCGAUACUCCUUAUAGCCAGUUGUGAUCGUUUAGGGCGUGGACUA
rnacentral:misc_RNA from 1 species